rnacentral:rRNA from 1 species
AACGGCCGCGGUAUCCUAACCGUGCGAAGGUAGCGUAAUCACUUGUUCUUUAAAUGGGGACUAGUAUGAACGGCUGCAUGAGGGCCUAACUGUCUCCUGCGAUCAAUCAAUGAACCUGAUCUUUCAGUACAAAAGCUGAAAUAAACACAUAAGACGAGAAGACCCUGUGGAGCUUUAAACAAACCCUAAUUCACAACACCCUCCCCCUCCCGGGGACUAAAACCCCGUAAUUAGCAACGUUUUAAGUUGGGGCGACUGCGGGGAAAAACAAAACCCCCAUGCAACUAAGUACUACAAGUAGACACACUGACAGUAAUAAAUUUGACCCAGCACAGCUGACUAACGAACCAAGUUACCCCAGGGAUAACAGCGCAAUCCCCUUCAAGAGUCCUUAUCGCCAAGGGGGUUUACGACCUC